UUUAAAAAUACACUGAGAAGAUUCUGGAAGAAGUAGAGUUAUAGAUGAAAAUUCCCACACAAAGAGAUCAAGAUACAAAAAGAGAUGCCUUGCUCCUUGCAUGUACUAGGAGCUGGAUAAGAAUCAUUCCACACAUCUACACAGUAACUCUCCAAGACAGCUUGCUUGACGGCAACAUAAACGGACUCUGAAUUUUCUCUCCAGAAAAAGUCUCAGAAAAGACGCCAUGAGGUGAGCAGCAUUCCUCAACCACACCCUUGUGCCAUGAUGU